rnacentral:rRNA from 1 species
AGGGAGCUUGAGAAACGGCUACCACAUCCAAGGAAG